GUUGUAUGUGUUGUGCUGGAGGUUGUAUGUGGUGUGCUGGAGGUUGUAUGUGUGGUGCUGGAGGUUGUAUGUGUGGUGCUGGAGGUUGUAUGUGUGGUGCUGGAGGUUGUAUGUGGUGUGCUGGAGGUUGUAUGUGUGGUGCUGGAGGUUGUAUGUGUGGUGCUGGAGGUUGUAUGUGUGGUGCUGGAGGUUGUAUGUGUUGUGCUGGAGGAUGUAUGUGUGGUGCUGGAGGUUGUAUGUGUGGUGCUGGAGGUUGUAUGUGUUGUGCUGGAGGUUGUAUGUAGUGUGCUGGAGGUUGUAUGUGUUGUGCUGGAGGUUGUAUGUGUUGUGCUGGAGGUUGUAUGUGUUGUGCUGGAGGUUGUAUGUGUUGUGCUGGAGGUUGU
ensembl:lncRNA